UUUCUUUUAGAAUCACACACAUCCUUUCUUAAUUGUAUUUACGACGAAUUACUCUAUAGUUUUCAUAGCCUGUCAUUCAUAGAUAGUUAACAGUAGUAUUAUAGACGAGUUAAAUAUCUCCCGAUCGCGUUAUUAUUAGCUUUGACAGAUCUCGGAGACCGCGGCGCGCCGCGACGUCCGCGGAGGGGUGGAGGGGGGCGCCUGCGCCGAGUGGAGGGGCAGCGCGAAAGAUACGCCGCGUAUUCGUCGCGCGACGCGCAAUGUGUCCCGCGCCAGCGUACGAAACGCGUCGGUGUCGCUGUCCCGCACGGUGUGACAAUCUUUUUUUUCUCACACACGCGCCACUUCCGCGGUGUAGUUUCGGUCGUUCCGCGACUCGACGCGACCGAUUACCUCGUUUGUUUUCCCAAGAUCCCCCCCAAAAAAAUUGGCGAUUCUUUUUCCAUUUUUUUCUUUUCGCCACGACUUAACCCCACGUCGUCUCCUCGCGCGACGAUGAUCCUCGCGAUCCGCGCGACGCGAUAACGCGAUCGAGGAAACGAUCUUUAGGAGUCCGCUCGACGUUUUCGUUUCUUCUCGAGGCCGACGUAAACGCGCGGCGAUCGAAUGCACCUCGUUGGAUGCUACCGGAGGCGGUCGAUCUGGAAGCCCGUGGUCACCGCGGUCCCGUGAGCAGGUGCCGCGGACAUAGCUAGCACCGGUGGCCGCGAUGGACGCGCGCGUGGUGGUCGGCGCCGCGCCGGCCGCGGAAGAGACGUCGGUAGCGGCGGCGGCGACGGCGGCGGCGACGCGAGGCGUCGCGACGCCCUCGCCGGUACCUUCCGCGCCGAGCACCGCUACCAGCAACGGCAACGGUGGAACGAGCGCGAACGUCGUCGCGACGCUCGCGUCCGCCUCGCAGAAUCCUGUCGUCGUUGUGGCCAACCCUCCUGGCAAUCAUCAACAGCCGGCCGGCGUGUCGGUCGCCGCCGUGCCCAGGAUACUCAGCAGAAAUGUCAACGGCACCUUGGUGCAGACAUCCGUGCCGCAGAAUGAGGCCGAGUUGCAGCUGUACCGAGUGAUGCAGCGCGCCUCGCUACUGGGAUAUUACGACACACUCCUCGAGAUGGGAGGCGAUGACGUGCAACAAUUGUGCGAUGCAGGCGAAGAAGAGUUUCUGGAGAUUAUGGCGCUGGUCGGCAUGGCGAGCAAGCCACUUCACGUCAGGAGGCUCCAGAAAGCUCUGCAGGAAUGGCUCACUAAUCCUUCAUUGUUUCAAACGCCAGUCGUGCCGACGAAUGCCGCUGCCAAAAGUCCCGUCGCCGUCACCGUCGGUUUCGCGUGUGCGAGCCCGCGGUCGCAGAUGCAGAGCCUGCCGACCAGUUUCACCGCAACUUCCCAGACUUCUCUGAUGUCCAUGCCCUAUGUAACGACGACGCCUCACGUGCCAUUGACGCCGUUGCCUUGCCGAAGUGCCAGUCCGGUCGUACCGGUCACCAGUGUGUCCGUGCCGACGCCUUCCACGACCUUUCGCCAGAGUCCGAGCCCAAACACCUCUUUACCUUACACGACUACGCACAGUCCAAAUGUGUUGCAGGUAGGAACGUGCGAAUCUUCGUGCGGCAGCGGCACGACGCCAAGCCCGAGUGGCGGUGGCGGAGGCGGAGGCGGCGGUGGAGGCGCACCUGCGAGCCCGACGCAGCCGACGCCAACCCUCCUGCAAUCGCAGGUGCAACGGCUCGCCGAAGCUGCGGAGAGGCUCGUCGCUACCAUAAGGCCCCUUGAUCCUAAACCCCACAACGUGAAGAAAAAACUCUGCAAGAACUUGGAGAUGGUAAUGACAAUGUCUGACAGUGACCCGCGCAAAAUGGAUGAAAUUCGAAAGUACGCGGCGAUUUACGGUAGAUUCGACUGCAAGAGAAAGCCGGAGAAACCGCUCACGUUGCACGAGGUAUCUGUGAACGAAGCGGCGGCGCAAAUUUGCAGAUUCGUGCCUGCCCUCCUCACCAGGAGAGACGAAUUGUUUCCUUUGGCGCGUCGUGUGGUCCGUGAUUCCGGCUACCAUUAUUCCAAAAGUCAAUACUUGUCAAUGUUGAAAUCACGCGAAAACGGGGAGGAGACCGAUAACGUUUCGAAACGCCGUAAGCUCGAGCUGGAGGGUGAGGGUGAGGACGCGACGCAGGAGGAGUUGGAUCUCCGUUGUUCCGGAACGGACAUUAAUAAUUCCAUCACGAGAAGACACAGGUCGUCGAGUUUGGAGGAAGAAGAAUAACAAUGGCAUAUUCAGUGCUAGCGUGGAGGAAAUUAGCGAUUCGGACAGUCAAUUCUCAUUUUCUAACGAGGAAUCUUCAUCUAUGCAUGAUACAAACGAGGCAGAGGCUGAAAACACCGAUAAAGAAGGCGACUUUAAUCUAAAGGUAAUAGCUUCACGCGGAGAUAACAUAAUUGCCGUGGCGAAUCCUGCAUUAAUGGAAUGCAGUCAUCCUGUAAAGGAGGAGCCCGCGGACGAGAAAUCCACACUGUGAUAUUACUUAGCGUUAUUUACUGCCGC
rnacentral:misc_RNA from 1 species